CCCUAUCAAUAUUGCUUUUCUCUUCACAUUUUCAGUUUCAAUUCAAUCUCCCAAGGUGAUUUCUCCCCAGAUUUGUUAUCUUUGAUACCUUCUUCAGUUAUUCCAUGUACAAAUGUCUGAUCUAUGCUUUCUCAUAGUAUGUAUCGAUCCCCUAAAUAGAUUUAAGAGUGUCUUAUUUCUCCUACUAUAGAUCGUCUAUAUUCUUCUCUUUUUUUGGUGAUGAUGACCACAUGACAAGCUCAAAUCGAUAACCGUCACGAUGAGAGUUUAGGAGUCAAGUUAAGUUAUUUGAUGUGUUCAAUCCCAUGACCACAAGUAGCUAUACUCUGUGAAAUUAUGGAAGGUGUGUCCUUGAGCCUCUAUACAAGGGUUCAAGAAUUAAUUGUUAUCUCCGCCACCACACCGUACUGUGCCAGUCAUCUCUUCCACUCUCUGCCGCAGCUAACCUCACUGGUGAUUGCGACCUCUCCAUCCAUAUUUGUUAGGGUUGUUUGAUCGCGCAACUGUUAGGUUUGCCGCCACCAGCGACUCCCAUGACCUAGAAACUCAGAUCUCUUAUUGCUUUAUUUUCUCUCUUAUAUCUUUUCUUCUUAUUUCUACUCCCUUUCAAGGUACUACCAUAUAAGAUACAAGCUAGAAAAUGAUAACAAUGAUUGGAUCUUGUCCUACUCAAAUGACUUUUCGUUGUAUCUCCAGUGACCCACACUCUUUCGCUUUCCCUAUUCCUUACCAUCGUUUCUUUCUAUUUCUACUCUAUUUGCAUGUAUUAUUAUGAGCCAGAUUCAAAUGACAAGGUUCCACUGACAACUGGAAUAGAGCCUCCGACGACUUCCAAUAAACUUCUGGUGACCUCUAGCGACGACAAAGUAUCAGGUUUCUUAUUUCUACAAUGUUUGCUACACAAAAAAGGUUCAGAUUGAGCUCUUGCAAUAUUUUCAUUUCUCACAUAAUAUUGUCGACCGUACAUGUACCUUUCUAAUUUUCGUUGUAUUCUUACAUUUGAUCAGCUGCCAUUUAUAAUUCUAUUUC